GCCCCUCCCGCCAAUCGGACAGCUCCGGCUACGCCCCCAGGGCGCUAGCCCGCAGCCAAUGAGCAACGAGAGCCCGACUGGGAGUCGCGCCGGCCAAUCGCAGGGGCCGAGGAAGCCUUGAAUCUCCGGGCAAGUUAAGUUUAUCUCCGAGGCUCGGAACUGAAGGGAGGUGGCGGUUAGCUAAGUAGUAGGGUAGCAGGGAACAGUUUGCUCUCCUCUGCCAAUAAGAGGACGAGGGUGUGUCAUAUGCAAAUAUACUGCCCUCCAAGCCCCACCCCCAAGAUAAGCUACGCCCCCUUCUCUAGGUCCCUGCAGAAGUGGUGAGGAGAAUGAGAUAAAUAGUUGGGAGCUAGAGCUCGCUAGAGAGUCUAAGAUUGAGCUAAAUAUUUCCUGAUCUCUCGAGAAAGGGGGAGGGGAGUGGGAGGAUUAAAUGUUCCUUCCUUCAGGGCAGUGGUUAGGCUUUCUCUCCACCAAAAUCUAACUUUAGCUGUAAAGAAGACUGCAGUUAUGUAGUACUUUGUAUCCAGGGAUCUCAAAGAACUUUACGCAUCAUUUAUUGUGAACCUUGUUUUGCAAAGAUUUCAGUUACUUGAGGCUUGGGAGGCGGAUAGGGGAUAAAUGUCUGAGUUAUAUAUAUAUUUACGCAAGUAAUCGAGUUUGAGGGGAGAGACACAAAACCUCUGGUUUAGCGGUUUCCUCUUGUUUGUGAAGCACCUUCUAGCAGUUAUCUUAGAGAUGUAAGUUCAUUUACUUGUCCAGCACUAAAAGGCCAAAGGGGCUUGUUUUCUCACCCAAAAGACCUUCCUGAGGCAGCUGUUCGGAUACAUGCAGAGCACAGCGCCCUGCUCAGAAAGGAAGGUUCAGAGAACAAAUUGUCGUUUAAAACUAUUGGGACAAACCUACCUCUUCUAAAGCUUAAAAUGGUCUCCAGCGUACCAGGAUUUGUGAAGGCCUGAAGUUCGUAGAAUGAAAUCUAUGUGGAGAUGAUUUAAAAGAACGGUUUCACUGCUAAAAUCCUUUCGAAAUGAGUUCCUUUAAGUUCUUCAGUAACUAAAUCCUCCAGAAAGGAAAGCCGAGAGAAUCUAGUCCUAUACAAUAACACCCUCUAACAAAGAUCGCUAAAGGAAGAUUUUAGUAGAUGAAUAUCUUCAAUAAUACAUGGUCACAUACAUGUAUCUGACCAUAUGAUGGCUCUCUGCACCAAAUUCCUCCAAACUAUUAUAAUAUGUAUUGUCUGUAGUGCUAUUUAUUUGGCAGUUAAUCAUGUAUUACAUUGUGACAUUUCUUACAGUGAACCAUUAUGUAUGUGUUUAUGUUCUGCCCUCAACUACUCAAUGCCAGUACCUUAUUCUUAACACAGCAACCACCCUUUCUGGUCUGUCCUCACACCCUCAUUCCCAUCAUAGUUAUUCUCCUCUCUCAUGGAAAUGUUCAGUUUCUGGACAUCUCCUUUCUCUUCCAUUCUUCACCUGACCUUCCUUCCUUUCUUGGCCAGCCUGAAUAUUAUAAAGGGAAUUUUAUUUCAAACCCAGGAUCGCACUUAAGAGGAAAAGAAACAAAAGCCAGUUCUUUUUAUUGCACAUAGAACAAGGAGAAACUCCACCCCUUUUGUUGUCUGGUAUGUUUAAAACAAGAAAGAACUUUAGAAAAGUAGGAUAUGAGUGAAAAUUACAACCAAUGUUGAGAACUACUUUUUAAUUUUUUAUUACAAAAUUAGGAUGAUACUUCAUUAAACAUUGUACAUCAUUUCAAAACUGUUAUCUCAUAAUCAUGUUGCUUGUUUUGAAUUAUUCUUUUAAAGUGUAAUUUUUUUAAGCAAAGAAUCCAUAAAAUUACAUGGCUUGGAUGUACCAUAACU
rnacentral:lncRNA from 1 species